UGCAUGCUUUUCCUACUUCUUGGAAAGGUU
rnacentral:piRNA from 1 species